rnacentral:rRNA from 1 species
CGAUAAAGGAUGAGUUUGCGUAGCAUCAGCUAGUUGGUAGGGUAACGGCCUACCAAGGCUAAGACGCUUAGCUGGUCUGAGAGGACGACCAGCAACACUGGGACUGAGACACUGCCCAGACUCCUACGGGAGGCUGCAGUCGAGAAUCUUUAGCAAUGGGCGAAAGCCUGACUAUGCGACGCCGCGUGAGGGAUGAAGGAUUUCGGUUCGUAAACCUCUUUUGGCAGGGAAGAAUGACGGUACCUGCAGAAUAAGCCACGGCUAACUCCGUGCCAGCAGCCGCGGUAAUACGGAGGUGGCUAGCGUUACUCGGAAUUAUUGGGUGUAAAGGGCAAGUAGGCGGCUUGGUAAGUGGGGGGUGAAAUACUCCGGCUCAAUC